rnacentral:rRNA from 1 species
UUUUAAAUUUAGAGUUUGAUCCUGGCUCAGGACGAACGCUGGCGGCGUGCUUAACACAUGCAAGUCGAGCGAUGAAACUUCCUUCGGGAAGUGGAUUAGCGGCGGACGGGUGAGUAACACGUGGGUAACCUGCCUCAAAGUGGGGGAUAGCCUUCCGAAAGGAAGAUUAAUACCGCAUAAUAUAAGAGAAUCGCAUGAUUUUUUUAUCAAAGAUUUAUUGCUUUGAGAUGGACCCGCGGCGCAUUAGCUAGUUGGUAAGGUAACGGCUUACCAAGGCAACGAUGCGUAGCCGACCUGAGAGGGUGAUCGGCCACAUUGGAACUGAGACACGGUCCAGACUCCUACGGGAGGCAGCAGUGGGGAAUAUUGCGCAAUGGGGGAAACCCUGACGCAGCAACGCCGCGUGGGUGAUGAAGGUCUUCGGAUUGUAAAGCCCUGUUUUCUAGGACGAUAAUGACGGUACUAGAGGAGGAAGCCACGGCUAACUACGUGCCAGCAGCCGCGGUAAUACGUAGGUGGCGAGCGUUGUCCGGAUUUACUGGGCGUAAAGGGUGCGUAGGCGGAUGUUUAAGUGGGAUGUGAAAUCCCCGGGCUUAACCUGGGGGCUGCAUUCCAAACUGGAUAUCUAGAGUGCAGGAGAGGAAAGCGGAAUUCCUAGUGUAGCGGUGAAAUGCGUAGAGAUUAGGAAGAACACCAGUGGCGAAGGCGGCUUUCUGGACUGUAACUGACGCUGAGGCACGAAAGCGUGGGUAGCAAACAGGAUUAGAUACCCUGGUAGUCCACGCCGUAAACGAUGGAUACUAGGUGUAGGGGGUAUCAACUCCCCCUGUGCCGCAGUUAACACAAUAAGUAUCCCGCCUGGGGAGUACGGUCGCAAGAUUAAAACUCAAAGGAAUUGACGGGGGCCCGCACAAGCAGCGGAGCAUGUGGUUUAAUUCGAAGCAACGCGAAGAACCUUACCUGGACUUGACAUCCCUUGCAUAGCCUAGAGAUAGGUGAAGCCCUUCGGGGCAAGGAGACAGGUGGUGCAUGGUUGUCGUCAGCUCGUGUCGUGAGAUGUUAGGUUAAGUCCUGCAACGAGCGCAACCCUUGUUAUUAGUUGCUACCAUUAAGUUGAGCACUCUAAUGAGACUGCCUGGGUAACCAGGAGGAAGGUGGGGAUGACGUCAAAUCAUCAUGCCCCUUAUGUCCAGGGCUACACACGUGCUACAAUGGUAGGUACAAUAAGACGCAAGACCGUGAGGUGGAGCAAAACUUAUAAAACCUAUCUCAGUUCGGAUUGUAGGCUGCAACUCGCCUACAUGAAGCUGGAGUUGCUAGUAAUCGCGAAUCAGAAUGUCGCGGUGAAUACGUUCCCGGGCCUUGUACACACCGCCCGUCACACCAUGAGAGCUGGUAACACCCGAAGUCCGUGAGGUAACCGUAAGGAGCCAGCGGCCGAAGGUGGGAUUAGUGAUUGGGGUGAAGUCGUAACAAGGUAGCCGUAGGAGAACCUGCGGCUGGAUCACCUCCUUUCUA